rnacentral:misc_RNA from 1 species
GCCCAUGCAUAGCCUUGCAUUUUCCCCCUCGAGUAACAUCAAUCCCCUCUCCUUAAUUCAGAAACCGAACCCUGCUCCACUUCCUUAUAUCAAUUUCACCAAUUCCAAACCCUAGAUCCACCCGGUAGUCCAACCCUCCAACAUUUUCACCGGAAUCGAAAACCUAAUUUUCACUUGCCCCGAUCGAAUUCCAAUCCCUGGACCUCUGUUUUUCCAAUGAAUCGAUCCCACUCGAGCUUCGAUCCGCCGAAUUGAGGAGAUUUCGAUCUAGAGAGUGAAAGCUGAAGAAUCUUAGAGAGAGAAAGAGAGAGAGGGAGAGAUGAAGAGAGAGACAUGAAAGA